UUUUAGCACUUGGGAGAAUAUGUCCCUAGGUGUGGACAUUUAGUCCCAAAUUGAAAGUUGUGGAUACUGCACUCCAACCCGAUGAUCUCUCCCACUGCCGCCUCUUGCCACCAGGUACUCUUUUUUGCCUAGCUGCCGCCUCUCGCCACCAGGUGCUCUUGUGGAUAUGUCCUCCUCAACGCCGCCGCUCGCCACAGGCGCUCUUUUCCUUCUUCUUCUUUUUUUUUUUUUUUUUUUUUUUUUUUUUU
rnacentral:lncRNA from 1 species